rnacentral:lncRNA from 1 species
GAUUGAGCCCAGGGCACUUAACCUCUGAGCACAUCCCCAGCCCUUUUUAUGUUUUGAGACAGGGUCUUUAAGUUCUUAGGGGCUCAUUAAAUUGCUGAGACUGGCUUUGAAUUUGAGAUUAUCCUGCCUUAGCCUCCCAAGUCUCUAGGAUUAUCAGUGUGUGCCACCAUACCUGGCUAGAUAACUUUUUUUUUUUUGGUACUGGGGAUUGAACUCGGGGACACUCAACCACUGAGCCACUUCCCCAGCCCUAUUUUGUAUUUUAUUUAGAGACGGGUCUCACUGAGUUGCUUAGUGUCUCACUUUUGCUGAGGCUGGCUUUGAACUUGUGAUCCUCCUGCCUCAGCCUACCAAUCUGCUGGCAUUACAGGCAUGUGCCACUGUGCCCAGCUAGGCAACAUUCUUGAUGUCUGGCACUGGGGAAAAGCACUGAACUUGAGUUAUAUAGGAUUGGAUUCAAGUUCUGUUUCCUGCUGUUACUAUAUGACUUUCGGCAGAUUUUUGAAAUGUGCUUCUAAUCUUAACUCCUAAAGAUAGGUGUGCAAUUUCCAUUUUGUAGAGACUUGUUAAAGAACAUGAAGUCUGAAAGUAUAGUGUCCUGGGAUUGGAAUUUAAAUAAGGUUGGCUCCAAACACCUGUGUGAUUCCACAUUGUCAUUCCAUUUUAAUUUCACUGGAUCAUGUUUCAAGUAAUUUUAGCAAAAUUCUUUUCUGCCUUAACUAGUAGGCCCUGCUUUCCUUAGAAUAUACCCUCACUCUUGGAGUUUUGGGAGUAGAGCACAGGAAUGUUCUGCCCUCAGAGAAAUGGAUGCGAUCUAGGAGUGUAGUUUGUUAUUUCUGACUUUGCUUUGCCAGAACAGAGGGGUGGUUGUCACUCUGCAUUAUUAUCAGAGGGUUUCCUUCAUACCAGCCUAAUUGCUGACAAAAUUUGGCUUAUUUCUUUUUUCCAUUCUUGGUGCUGGCGCUUGAAUCCAGGGACUUGCUCUUGCUAAGCAAGUACUAUACCAUUGAG